rnacentral:lncRNA from 1 species
CGGCACCCUCGCUUCCUUUCCUUUUCCGGUCUUUCACGAAGUCGGCUCCCCUGCGCCCUCCUCCCGCAGUCCUGCCGGGGGCGCCCCGCGUCCAGCGCUAGCCGCGGUUAAUCCUCCGGUUCUCGUUCCUUGCUCUGCCUGGAGCUUAGUCUCCUCCGAGGCCAGGAGGCCAUCGUGCGUCUCUGCUCCCUCGCGGUGUGAGCGUGCACGCUGCAGGCCUGAGCCUCCCCGCACAGCCCUGCCGCAUCCUGUCUCCCGCGCUGCAUUUCUGCGUUCACUCCGCGGGUUUCCCUGGGCCCGUGAGCGACGCAGCCUCGUGAACGCGCGUCUCCCGGGAGACACACGCAGGAAAGCGCCUACCCCGCGCUCUCAGCUCACGCGGCUCCCUCCCGCAGGGCCCCGUGCAGGGCGCGGGGAGGUGGGCUCUGAGCGCACUGGGGCGCCGGCACCAUUUCUCCUUUUGCACCGUUUUCAUCCAUUAAGGACAGGUCCCGUGCCGCGCGCCGCCCCCGCCUCCGCCCGCCCUGCCGUCUGGAACCCCGUGCUCCCGCGCAGCCGCGCUGUGCCUGCGCCGCGGGGCUUUCCACGUCGGAGUCCUGCUGGGCUCAGCUUCCUGCGGGGAAGGGGCUGCGCCCAGCACGCGUCAAGCAUCACACAUCACUCAUCACACCCGUCACGCCCGUCUGUCCUUUGGGGUGGGCAGAAAACCAGCGGGAGCCGGUGGGUGCUUUGGGGCAGCCCGGACUCAGACUCCCGGCUGGGUCGGGCACCGCUGUCCACUCUCCCAACGCUCCGUCUUAGGAAAACCCGCAGGGUAGGGGGCACUCCCCCAGCCCGGCCCCUCACUCAUGGCCCCGGUGCCUCAGGCGCACAUCUACUCCCUGGCGGCCACGCUGAAGGCGGCCCUGGAGUGUGCGGUGGAGCCGGAGCCGGAGCCCAGGCUGAGCACGGAGCUGGAGACGCUGCUGAGCCAGAUGCAGGCGGAGGAGCCCGCAGACAGACCCCGCCUGGAGAGCGUCAUCGCGCUGUGCCGGGAGAAGACGCGGCCCGCGUCCUCUUGCCACGUGUGCGGGAGCCUCUCCGCCGUUGGCAGACGCGUGCUCUCCAUCGAGUCCUUUGGCGCCUUUCAGGGUAAGAGAGUGCCCCCCCCCCACGCACACACAUCUGCCCACGCACGUACGUACAACCACACGCCCGCACAGCCACCUACACACAAUCCCAGGCACACUCAUUCUUACUAAAC